GGUGUAGCCAAGGAUGACUUGCCGGAAAAACUCUCCAUAAAUUUUCUGGUGAUUCAUCUUCGGUUUUUAAUCAGAAUUUCGGCAAGUUGUCCUUGGCUACAUU
rnacentral:pre_miRNA from 1 species